rnacentral:tRNA from 1 species
GGGGCUGUAGCUCAGUUGGCUAGAGCAUUUGACUGGCAGUCAAAAGGCCGUGGGUUCGAGUCCCACCAGCUCCA